rnacentral:lncRNA from 1 species
AAAAAAGACUUUUAUUUUGCCGUGCUGUGUGACGUCAUAAGCCUGCGCCGCUCCUGCGCUGGGAUUCAGCUGGAGAAAGUGUCUAAACACAGAGAGAAACUCCUGCUGAAGCGACUGAUCUCCACACUGUUAUAAAGAUGGCGUUAAUUAAAGAGGAGAGUGAAGAUGUGAAGAUUGAAGAAACAAUUACAGUCAAACAGGAAGAUCUGCAGGA